UUUUAUUAUUAUUAUUAUAUUAUUAACAAAUUUGUAAGCUGACAUAUGCUUAAAAGUUGUCAUUUUUAUUGAUUCAUUUGUAUACUGCUUUGUUUGUUUUGCUCAAAGAUGAGGAAUUGGAGAUGGGGUUUUCUUUUGCUUCUUCAUUUUGCUUUCUUGUUAGGAACUGAAGCCUUCAAAUUUCAUAAGACUCAACGUACUGAGAGAAUCUCAGGUAGUGCUGGUGAUGUCUUGGAAGAUGAUCCUGUUGGGAGGUUAAAAGUUUUUGUAUAUGAGCUUCCCAGUAAAUACAACAAGAAAAUUCUUCAGAAAGACCCACGAUGUCUCAGUCACAUGUUUGCUGCAGAGAUCUAUAUGCAUCGGUUCCUCUUAUCUAGCCCUGUACGAACCCUUAAUCCUGAGGAAGCUGAUUGG
rnacentral:misc_RNA from 1 species